rnacentral:lncRNA from 1 species
GUAGCACGGUAGUGGUGAAACAUACAGCUGGGAGGGAUUUAGAAAGGUGAGGUUCAGCUGAUUGAGAAGUUCCUGUAGAGCCAGGAAAAAAUUUGUAGCCCCAGCAUCAGGGAGUGAAUCCCCAGUAGAAAGAAAGAGCUGGGAAGGACUUCCAGCCCAGCAGUGAAGGCAGAGCACCUGUGCUGGAAACAAGGACCCGGGGAAGAAAGCCUAGUCAGAAGGGACCUUUCAAACAAGGAAGCCUGCGACUAGCCCGGCCUCAGACAGUCCAUUCAGAAUCCUAAGAAUCUAAAUCUGUCUCUUACCAUGAUUCAGCAGACUGUCGUCAGGGGUCCUGGCUGAGGAGCUGUACUCACUGAUGGGUCCUCAAUCAGUGAGUCAUGAGUGAAGACAAAGGCUUCAAAAAUGUGCACGUAGGGUCCUGGGAGAGAGGCUCAGUGGUCCAAUGGGGAAUCUGAUCCCGAGUCAUGGUACCAUCACUGUUAAAGAAGAAAUUAUUCCGCCGUUGUUGUUAAUGGCCUCUCACCAGAUAUUACUGAUUUGCCAGCUGAUCUCAUUCUCUCAGCAUCCCAAGAAAUUCGCCUUUUAACCCUGGAAACAUUGAUCUUGAGACUUGAGAGCCAUGCGGCAGACACACAGAAUGAAUGUCUCACUAGGAUGCGUAUGCAAGUCCUCUCACAAGACUUCCGUGCAUUCUCAGUGCUAGUUACUAACUUCAUAUGAGAAUUUCCAAGGGAGUUGUUUACCAGUGUUCAGUCAUUGGAACCUCACACUGGGCUAGGAGAGCAGAUAGGUGAGGAAAGUGAGC